rnacentral:rRNA from 1 species
GGAGUUAGCCGGUGAUUCUUCUGUGAGUGAUGUCCUUCCUGCCGGCUAUUAACCCGCAGGCCUUCUUCCUCACUGAAAGUGCUUUACAACCCGAAGGCCUUCUUCACACACGCGGCAUGGAUGGAUCAGGGUUGCCCCCAUUGUCCAAUAUUCCCCACUGCUGCCUCCCGUAGGAGUCUGGGCCGUGUCUCAGUCCCAGUGUGGCUGAUCAUCCUCUCAGACCAGCUACGGAUCGUCGCCUUGGUGAGCCGUUACCUCACCAACCAGCUAAUCCGACAUAGGCUCAUCCGAUAGCGCGAGGCCCGAAGGUCCCCCGCUUUCCCCCGUAGGGCGUAUGCGGUAUUAGCCUGGGUUUCCCCAGGUUAUCCCCCACUACCGGGCAGAUUCCUAUGCAUUACUCACCCGUCCGCCGCUCGCCACCAGGGAGCAAGCUCCCCGUGCUGCCGCUCGACUUGCAUGUGUUAGGCCUGCCGCCAGCGUUCAAUCUGAGCCAGGAUCAAACUCUGA